CUAAGAGAUUAUGCAAGAUUUGAACAGAGGGAAGCUCCAGAGGAAACUGCUCUUUCUCAAGGAGCUGGGCUAGACAUUGGUAAGACCUCAAAUCCAUAGGAGGCAACAUAUCCGAAGGACCCUAGCUUCUGCAGCCAUCGUGAGGAGGAUGCUGGUUCCCCAUCCGCCUGACCCACAGAACCAACAACUCCAAUACCGGAAAUUGCAGCCGGUAGCAACAAGAAGAAGCGCUGCGAUGUGUGUGGACCCAAGAAGGACAGGAAGACAGUACACAUGUGUCAAGUGCAAGAAAUACAUUUGCAACACACACACAGUAAAACUCUGUCCCUCAUUGUGAUGUGUAGACUGGCGUUAAUUUGUGUCCAAUGGGGCUCAUUUAUCAUUUCCAUAAAAUACUGUAUGUAAAUUGUCCUUACAAUUUGUUCAAUUCGAAGCAAUUUCUCUGUAGGUGAUGGCUUUGUUAUGGAAGGUUUGGGAAUCGCUUCCAUUUUAGGUGGUUGUAGAAUUUAACAGCUCUUUUCUGGAUUUUUAUAAUUAGCGGAUAUCGGCCUAAUUCUGCUCUGCAUGUAUUAUUUGGUGUUGUAAAAUACACAGAGAAUAUUUUUGCAGAAUUCUGCAUGCGGAGUCUCAAUUUGGUGUUUGUCCCAUUUUGUGAAUUCUUGGUUGUUGACCGGAUCCCAGACCUCAUAGCCAUGAAGGGCAAUGGAUUCUAUAACUGAUUCAAAAUUUCUUUUUGCCAGAUCCUAAUUGGUAUGUUGAAUUUUGUUCCUUUUGCCUUGCCUAGUCUCUCAGAUCGUUCACAGCUUUAUGGAAGUUACCUCUGGCGCAGAUAUUUAGACCAAGGUAUGUAUAGUUUGUGUGCUCUAGGGCAACAGUGUCUAGAUGGAAUUUGUAUUCGUGGUCCAGGCAACUAGACAUUUUUUGGAACACCAUUAUUUUUGUCUUACUGAUAUUUACUGUCAGGGCCCAAGUCUGACAAUCUGUGUAGAAGAUCUAGGUGCUGCUGUAGACCCUCCUUUAGUUGGAGACAGAAGCACCAGAUCAUCAGCAAACAGUAGACAUUUGACUUCAGAUUCUAGUAGGGUGAGACCGGGUGCUGCCGACUGUUCUUGUGCCCUCACCAAUUUGUUGAUUACAUGUUGAAGAGGGUGGGGCUUAAGCUGCAUCCCUAUCUCACCCCCUGGCCCAGUGGAAAUACAUGUUUUUUGCCAAUUUUAACCGCACACUUGUUUGGGUACAUGGAUUUUAUCAAAUUUUAUAAUGUUUAUGUCAGUCGGUUUUGUUCUGUGUGUUGUAUUUCUAUGUGUUUGGCCUGGUAUGGUUCCCAAUCAAAGGCAGCUGUCAAUCGUUGUCUCUGAUUGAGAACCAUACUUAGGUAGCCUGUUCCCACCUGUGUUUGUGGGUAGUUGUUUUCUGUUUUCUACCUUGCAGAACUAUUUGUUGGUUUUGUUCAAGUGUUCGUAUUUAUUAAACGUAUUAUGAA